CGUGCUCCGGGCGUCGGCCUG
rnacentral:snRNA from 1 species